GGGAAAUGUUGAGGACAUGUUAGGAAUGGCAUGCGGCCGUCCAAGGGACUGGACAGAGAUUGGGCAUCACUUGCCUAGAAGCGAGGACUGAAGCCUUAGCAAUGGGGGUGAGAGCACUGGGAGAGAGCUAGUCGCGAGGAUCAACUUUUCAUCUUGGAAGCACAGAGCUGCCGCAGCAACGUGAGAAACGCAAAUGCCGCUCGCUGACACUUCAGUUAGGCGCCACGAAGACGAGCAGCAGCUAGGAAGGUUUUGGGUAGAGACUGAAGAGAAAAAUAAAGGAAGCUUUGUGUGUGGCUUGUCCUUGACGCGGGCACCACUAUGAAGAGCUUGACAUGAGCCUUUGAGCCGAGAUGGGAGCAGAAGGGUCAGCCUUCCAUCCCUGCGGGCGCAGCACUGGCCAUCCCCCAUGGGCAGAAUUUGGUGAUGAACACGGAAGGACCUUGAAUUAGGACCAAAACAUGGCCGCAUCCUUGGAAGUUCACAGUCCAGGAGGGGCAAAACACACAACCGCAAAUGAUGGCUAGGAAACCUCCAGAGACAGACGCACAAGCUAUGGCCUAAGGAACCUGCCAGCUCCGGUCUUUACUCCCAUCACCAAGAGCCAGGAUGGCCAGGAGAGAGAGUCUGAUCGGGACACAGCUGUAACUGGCCCCGGGGCUGGGCCCUCAGGGUGCACGGGUCCCCGGCAGCGGGCACAGGACUGGGCAAAUCUCAGUGACCAGCGUGCCGGGGAGGGACCACCUGUGGUCGGAUGGAGAACCAGCCAAGGUUUGAAAAUGGGGCACGUGAGAAACGACCUUUCCUCACAUUAAACUUCACUUAAUGGAAAUAAAUGUUGUGCGGUUGCCGUGGCCCUGAGGAUAAAAAGCCUCUGGUAUCACCUCCUGCAGCCUCGGUCCCCACCCCGCCUUGGUAAACAGAGUUAGAGACGCACGAUUGGCUCCUGUGUGAAAGCAGCUUGGCUCCCGGUCAAGUCCAAGAUUUUUCGUUCUUAGUGCUUAAAAGAAUGGGAGGCAUGCAACCCAAAUCCACAACUACAAAGACAGCUCUCUAGGAAAACCCAGAUGUCAAGCAACAUCCGUUAGUUGUAUCCAAGGGAUCCCGCUCGGAGUUUGUGCUUGUUCCUCUUUUCUUCAUCAGUUUAAGUGCUUUCUGGCAGGUUCGGGAGGAAAAAAGCAGUUUGGGAAUGCAACAAAAGGGAUCACAGUAUCUAAAAAGAACAGAGAGAGGAAGAAAGCUGCGACUAUAUGACCAAUGAAGGCAGGAAAAGAACCAGGAGAAAAUGGCAUCUCAGGAGGAAAGAAGAGAGGAUCCAAGAGGGCUGCCCCUCGUGCUGAGAGCCUCAGUUAUUCUCAAAUGACGGAUGGAUGAGCAACCCAGCCACUCACAGAGCCAGGGAGCCAUCUGCGUGUUCCCCAGUCCACAGCCUCAUUUCACAGCUAAAGACUCCGAGCCCUAGGAAUGCAAGUUGGCUUGUUUGAGGUACCAUGGCUAAUUCAUGGGAAGUCCAUCACAGGCAACCAAAAUUCAUAGAGGUUGGAAUGAAAUAAUUGGAUUUUUCAAUAAGUCUUCCUUUAAAAAUAUAUGUGUGUGUAUAUUUUAGUCAAUACAUCUCAUCAUCAAUUUUCUUUACGUCCACUUACAGGUGAAAAACCCCACUCUGUUCCAAGCCAGGUGUAAGUCAGAACCAGCAUGACUGACUCAAUUCCAUUUUUCUACCUCUUUUUGAAUGAACAAUCACCAGCCUACCUGGAAACUUCAUUCGCCUUUCUCUCCCCAAGCAGUAGACCAUAAACUUCACUUUUGAACUGGCCAUAAACUCCCCAAAUUUCACUCCUAUAGAUUCCUCAGGUAACUAUGACAGAAACUGUAUUUUGCCCCAGCCUUGACUUUUCCAUUUUCUUUCCCCAAAUAUGUGCUACUUGCUACCCCCGCCCCCCCAGGGCAUGGAGACGCUCUGAAACAGACGGAGUUUCCUACAAACUGGGGGAACUUAUCCAGGCCUUCCAAUCGCUCAGCAACUACCACACAGCUUUAAAAAUAAAUCUCACGAGUGUUUCAAACCUGACAACUAAUCUAUUAUACAACUGAAAUUAUUCUUUGCAGAAAUGUUAAAUGUCACACCACAGAGCCUAAGAUUUUCAGCUCACUCCAUUAUUCCCAGAUAAAUCUCAGUAAAUGAAUCUAUAGAUAUAUAGAUAUACUCCCUGAUGCUGGGAAACACUGAGGGCGAGAGGAGAAGAGGGUGGCAAAGGAUGAGAUGGUUAGAUAGCAUCACCAACUCAUUGGUCACUAACCUGAG